ACCGAAAUAGCUCAGUUGGAAGAGCGUUGUACUAUAUAUCAAAAAGUCCUUGAUUCGACCCCGGGUUCCGGCA
rnacentral:tRNA from 1 species